CAGCCGCCGCGGUAAUACGAAGGGUGCAAGCGUUAAUCGGAAUUACUGGGCGUAAAGCGUGCGUAGGUGGUGGUUUAAGUCCGUUGUGAAAGCCCUGGGCUCAACCUGGGAAUUGCAGUGGAUACUGGGUCACUAGAGUGUGGUAGAGGAUAGUGGAAUUUCCGGUGUAGCAGUGAAAUGCGUAGAGAUCGGAAGGAACAUCUGUGGCGAAGGCGACUAUCUGGGCCAACACUGACACUGAGGCACGAAAGCGUGGGGAGCAAACAGGAUUAGAUACCCCAGUAGUCCCUGUCUCUUAUAC
rnacentral:rRNA from 1 species